rnacentral:lncRNA from 1 species
GUGGCCGACCCUGAAGGCAUAGCACCCCCAGCCCAGUGACUGACCUGUGUGGUAGACAUUGGAGGUCACAUGGUUUAAGAACCUGGCACAUAAAUCCUUCCUGGAAAAAUAAUCACAUUGUAUUUCUUGGUGUUUCAUCUCCUGACAGGGGUUUUUCUUUCUCUGGUGUUUGAGAUGAAAACAAGCUGUGACCUGAAACUAUAGACACUUCUCAAGGAUGAUGGUAUGUUGAUAGAAUGUAGUUAAAAUGCUCAUUAGGGAUCAUCUACUAUUGUAAAGAACAGGGUAGAGGAAGAGUAGGGUAGGCAGAGUCUCUUAAUCCUUGGAUUUAUUCAACAGGAUUUUACCAAAACAGGAUGAACCUCUGAAAAAAGACAAGCAUUUACAAUAACAUUGUAAAUAAAACCUAAUGAAAGACAUCUGAAGUCUACAGACAAAUGAACAGCCUUAAGAAGCCUGAAUCUUACAGGCAAUGACCUUUGCCAAUAGCUUUAAUACCAAUAGAGUUGCUGAUAUUGAUUAUCCAAUCUGUGGCAGGUAGGAGUCCAGGAGUGCAAAGGCACUUGGGACAGUGGGUUUGGGAAUAUUAGCUGGGUGAGAGGAAGCAGUGGUCCUGAAACUUAAUGUUCCUAUGAUUUAACUGGGGCUGAGUAGGUCUGAGAUGGGGCCUUAGAUUUUGCUUUUUUAACAAGCAAUGUCUAUGCAGGUGAGUAUUAAGAAUAAACUUAAACAGUUUUUCCUCUGCUCUCACACUAACACAACAACAGUUAUCAACACAGACAGGAGAAUUCUGUUAUCCCCAAAUAUGAGGGGGUUUCUCCCCAUCAGCAAGCAGCCCAUCAGUUCUGCAGUGGACACCAGCUGGUUGCCCUCCGAUUCAAUUCUGACAUCGUCUACUGGAAGAUAGUGUCAGAUCCCACAGGUCUGACUCUACAGAGACCACAGAUUCUUUGAGUUGCAAGGAAUGAAGAGGUCACUCAACCUAGUUCAAGCGAUGAGGUUUAUGGUGAAGAAAUUGCAAAGCAGUGAGAGUGAUGGAAACUUCUGGAAAACAGGAUUGUGGAGUAGCCAGGCCUGGAAGAGACUGGAACCAGGUAUCAUCCUGAGUCCAGGGCAGCUCAAGGCACCUCAGGGGCAGAGCAUUUUCCCCACUGAAGACAGGACCCUUGCUAGUUUCUAAUUCAGGCCUCAAGAGCAAGAAGCUGACCCGCCCCUCCUGGCAGGCAAAGCACAUCACCCAGGCGCCCCAGGGCCCUGCCAGCCUGCAACCAAGCUUCUUAGUCAGGCUAGGUGUGCCCCAGCUUUCUAAACACCUGGGGCCAGGAAGGGGCAGGAUGGGCCUCAUGGUACAACCUCGCUGCCAGGACAGCAGGUGCUGCCUCCUGGGAAGGGCCUUUUAAAGAUAUGGUGGGUGUGGUAUUUGCCUCCUCUGUGAAAUCCACGGCUGGCUGAGCUCCAAGCUUUGUAGUCCUUGGAGAGUUAAUCUUGGUGGCUCUCUCUUAUGCAAAAAAAAACUUCAGAGAAGUAUUGGGAGACUUCCUAUUUGGAAAUUUCUAGUCUGUACUGCUAAAGGGAGUAGGGGUAGGGGAGUCAUUUUUCAGUUUUUUUUCUUUUUCUUUUUUUUUUUUUUUUAGGCAGGGUCUUGCCUUGUUGCCCAGGCUGGAGUGCAGUGAUGCAAUCACGGCUCACUGCAGCUCGACCUCGCAGGCUCAAGCGAUCCUCCUGAAUAGCUGGGACCACAGGUGUGCAUCACCACACCUGGCUAAUUAUUUUGUAGUUUUUGUAGAGAUGGGGUCUCACCUUAUUGCCCAGGCUGAUCUCAAACUCCUGGGCUCAAGUGAUGCUCCCUCCUUUGCCUCCCAAAGUGCUGGGAUUACCCAUGAGCCACAGCACCUGGCCCAUUUUUCAGUUUUUAAAGGUCUGGUGGUUUUCCGAAACCUUCACUUGGGAUUUGGCAUGUUAAUUACGACUAAACCCCUGAUCCUUCCCCACACCUCCUGGGGGAUGAUUAGGUCAGGGCCAGGCCAUCCCCGCUCCUCCUGGAGGCUGCAGGAGGCACUCCACACAUCUCCCCACGGGCAGCAUCUGCUCACUCCCUCUGCUCAUGUUUAUUGAGCACUCGAUGUGCUAGGUACAGUUCUCAGACCUGGGGGUACAAUACUGAACCCAAAAGACAACCGUCUCUGUCCUCAUAGAGCUUAUGUUCUAAUGAGGAGAGACAAUUCAUAAAUAUAACAAAUGUGUGAAUUAUAGCUUCCGUUAGAAGGUGAUAAGUGCUUCAGGAAAAGAAAAUAUGUCAGAGUAAGUGGGGUAGGAAGUGCGGGUGAGGAGAGGAGGUAGACAGAUGAAAUGUUUGAUAGCACAGGGAGGGUAAGUCAUUGAGAAGCUGUUAUUUGAGCCAAGCCUCGAUGGAGGUGCGGGAAGCUUUGAGAAUUUUGUAAUAUCCCCCAGCACAAGACACUAGAGGCACCUUGGAGUCUUGUGAAAGCAACACUGAAAACUCUGGGAAUAAACAGCAGAGAAGUAAGGGUGUGACAAGUCAGGAAUAUUCCAUGGCUAUGCACCAAGAAUGGCCCUGCACAAAUAUUUAGGAGGAGUGGCAGUGAGAGGAUUUGAGGGUCAAAAGUGUUAAAGUAGAAAUAUGAGAAAUUACAACAAAGUCCAGGUUCACUUCAGUGUAUUAUUAUUUUCAUUUUUUUGUAAAAUAUUUUGAAAAAUUUCAAAAUAAAGUUGCUAAAAGACUUUGUCGUGAUAAUGACGUUGCAGUUAUGUAGGAGAAUGGCCUUAUUCUUUUUUGUUUUGUUUUGUUUUUGAGACUGAGUCUUGCUGCGUCACCCAGGCUGGAGUGCGGUGGCACAGUCAUGGCUCACUGAAGCCUUGACCUCCCAGACUCAAGUGAACCUCCCGCCUUAGCUUCCUGAGUAGCUGGGUGUACAGGCAAGUGCCAUCAUACCCAGCUAAUUUUAAGAUUUUUUGUAGAGAUGGGGUCUCGCCUUGUUGUCCAGGCUCCUUGAACUCCUGGACACAAGUGAACCUCCCGCCUCAGCCUCCUAAAGUGUUGGGAUUAUAGGCGUGAGCCACCAUGCCCGGCCACUUUAUUCUUCAGGGAUGAAAUAUUUAGGGAUAAUAUGUCAUGAUGUCUGCAACUCUUUUUUGUUUGUUUUGUUUUGAGACUGAGUCUCACUCUGUUGCCCAGGCUGGAGUGCAGUGGCGUAAUCUCGGCUCACUGCAAGCUCCGCCUCCUGGGUUCAU